rnacentral:lncRNA from 1 species
AUGGCGCUACGGACAGUUAGCCACCAUCUCCUCCUCUGCCUCAGUCUCUCACUGCUCAUCUCCAUAAAGAGUUCCUUUUGCAAUAAAAAUGACACCAAGUGCAUCUCCAGUUCUUGCCAAAACAAUUCUACGUGCAAGGAUUUCUCAAAAGACAAGAGUUGCCGUUGUUCAGACACAGCCGUUCACGGGGACAAAGACUGCGGGGAAGAGGAGGACCCCUGCCUCUCCAGCCCCUGUCCGGAACACGCCACGUGCGUCCGCGUCCCGGGGGAGAGGCGCUCUCUGUGCAGAUGUCCCCCCGGGCACAGCGGGGCCGGCUGUGACACCGCCGCUGGCCCCUGCGGGCCCAGCUCCUGCCUGCACGGGGGCGUCUGCCACCGGGACUCCGGGCCCCCUGUGUGCGUCUGCCCCGCUGGCUACACGGGAAGGUUCUGUGAGCUGGACCUCGACGAGUGCGCUUCCAGCCCCUGCCUGCACGGCGCCGUGUGCCGGGAUGGAGGCGACGGCUACUUCUGCUUCUGUGUCCCGGGCUAUCAAGGCCGGCGCUGCGACGUGGAAGUGGACGAGUGUGUGUCGGAGCCCUGCCAGAACGCGGCCACGUGCCUCAACGAGAUCGGACGCUACACUUGCCUCUGCCCGCGCGGGUUCUCCGGGUACACGGGCGUGCAGUGUGAGACUGACCUCGAUGGAUGCGGGAGCGGCCCCUGCCAGGCCGGCGGGCGGUGCGUGGAGCUGUCCUCGGAGACGGGGCGUGAGCGCCUGGCCCAGCUGCUGUCUGCAUCCCGCCGCCCCGAAGCCUCCCCCCGUUACGUCUGCAUCUGUCCACCCGGACUCACAGGAGUCCACUGUGAAGAGGACGUGGACGAGUGCUCGUCCAGCCCUUGCCGCAACGGGGGCACAUGUGAGAACUCGCCUGAGGGUUACGCUUGCCGCUGCCCGUUUGAUCCCCAUUCUGGAGUCUUCUUUGGAGGCAGGGACUGCUCUGAUAUUCUCCUGGGCUGUGCCGAUCAUCCGUGUCUAAACAACGGGACAUGCGUCCCCCACGUCCAUGACGGCCGGCACGGAUUUGACUGCCUGUGCCCUGCUGGCUACACCGGGUCACGGUGUGGAACCGUCACCACGCUGUCCUUUGAGGGCAGCGGCUUCCUGUGGGUCUCAAGUGGCUCAGCUCCGGCCCAGGAGUCAGGCUGUACCAUAGCCCUCAGGUUCCAGACCGUCCAGCCGGCAGCCCUGCUGCUCUUCCAGGGUGACCAGGACGCAUUUGUGAUGCUGGAGGUGCUGGCUGGCUUCGUCCACUUGACCGUUCAAGUUGGCGAUCGACCAAAUGUGGUCCUGCUCAUCCCCCACGACACCAGCGAUGGAGGGUGGCACGCGGUGGAGGCGACGUUUGCAGAGGCUGUGACCCUCACCCUACGCGAUGACUCUUGCACGGGGACAUGCAUCGCUACGGCUCCUUCUCCGUUUGAAAGUGCUGGGUCAUCAGUGUGUGCUCUCCAGAACUCCUUUUUGGGGGGUUUGCCAGAGGGAAAAGCCCACAGUGGUGAUGCUCUGUUUAACGUCUAUAAGAUGCCAUCCGCACCUUCGCUCGUAGGCUGCCUCCAAGACGUGCACCUGGACUCGAAUGCCAUCACUGCAGAAAGCAUCUCAUCCGACCAGUCUCUGAACAUCAGGGCAGGCUGCACCCGAAAGGACUGGUGUGACAGCCAGCCUUGUCAAAACAGAGGACGCUGCCUCAACCUGUGGCUUGGUCACCAGUGUGAGUGCUACAGGCCCUACCGCGGCCAUGGCUGUCAUGGAGAGUAUGUGGCAGGCAGAUUUGGCCAAGAUGACUCUCCGGGAUAUGCUGUUUUUCAUCUCAACAAGGAUUACGAAGAGGACCUCUCACUCUCCAUGUUUGUUCGAGCACGCCGGCCAGCUGGCCUGCUCCUAGCUCUGGGAAACAGCACUUACCAGUACCUCCGUGUCUGGCUAGAGCACGGCAGGCUAGCGAUGCUGACUCCAGGUUCUCCCAAAUUACUAGUAACAUUUGUUCUCAGCGACGGAAACGUCCACUUGGUAUCUUUGAAAAUCAAGCCAAAUAAAAUUGAACUGUAUCAGUCGUCACAAAAUCUAGGAUUUCUUUCUGCUCCUACGUGGAAACUCCAAAGAGGAGAUGUCCUCUAUGUUGGUGGACUGCCUGACAGGCGAGAGACUGAGGUUAGCGGUGGAUUCUUCAAAGGCUGCAUCCAAGAUAUAAGGCUAAACAACGAGAACCUGGAAUUCUUCCCAAAUUCAACAAGCAGCGCAGCCCACAGUGCCGUUCUUGUCAAUGUGACCGAAGGCUGUCCCGGAGACAGCCUGUGUGAGCCCAACCCCUGUCACCACGGAGGCGUCUGCUACCCGCUGUGGGACGACUUCUCCUGCUCCUGCCCUGCGAACACAGCCGGAAAGGCCUGCCAGGAGCUGCGCUGGUGUGAACUCGGCCCGUGUCCUCCCGGCGCCCAGUGCCUGCAGUUGCCUCGAGGCUUCGAAUGUAUCGCAAAUGCUGUUUUUAAUGGACAAAGCCGUGAGUUAAUAUUCAGGAGCAACGGGAACAUCACCAGAGAGCUCACCAACGUCACAUUUGGUUUCAGAACGAGGGAUGCCCACGCGAUCAUACUGCACGCAGAGAAGGAGCCUGAAUUCCUUCGUAUUCACAUUCGGGAUUCCCGGCUGUUAUUUCAGCUGCGAAGCGGCAACAGCUUUUACACGCUGAGUCUGACGAGUCUGCAGCCGGUGAGCGACGGCGUGUGGUACCAGGUGACCAUCUCCAUGACAGACCCGGGGGCCCAGGCUUCCAGGUGGCAGAUGGAGGUGGACGGGCAAACGCCUCCUGUGACCAGCGCAGUCGCUGCCGGGAGCCUCAGCUUCCUGAAGGACGACACAGACAUCUAUGUGGGUGACCGAGCUAGCAACAGCACUCGGGCCCUGCGAGGGUGUCUAAGCACGAUCGCCAUCAGCGGCCUCUAUCUCUCUUACUUUGAAAACGUCGGUGGCUUGAUGAACAGACCUCAGGAGGAGCAGUUUCUCAAAGUCUCUGGGCCUCCAGUGGAGACUGGCUGCCUGCAGCUUGACGCCUGCCGCUCCGGGCCCUGCCUGCACGGAGGACGCUGCAAGGACACCUACAGCUCCCACCGCUGCACCUGUCCCGCGGGACGGUCGGGGCCACACUGCGAGCUUGACGUCGAUGAAUGCCUUUCAAGCCCCUGUAUCCAUGGCAACUGCUCCUCCCCUGCCGGGGCAGGCUAUCACUGCAGGUGUGAGCCUGGCUUCACCGGUGUGAACUGCGAGUCGGAGGUGGACCACUGCCAGCGUCACCAGUGUGCAAAUGGGGCCACCUGCGUGAGUGAUGCCAACGGCUACUCUUGCCGCUGUCCUGGAAACUUCACGGGAAGGUUCUGCAGGUACCUCCGAUUACCCUCCACCUUCUGUGGGAAUGAGAGGACCAACCUCACUUGCUACAACGGUGGCAACUGCACGGAGUUCCAGGGAGAAAUGAAGUGCGCCUGCUGGCCAGGUUUUACGGGGGAACGGUGUGACAAGGACAUCGACGAGUGCGCGUCCGACCCCUGCCUGCACGGCGGCCGCUGUCACGACCUGCUGAACGGGUUCCGGUGCACGUGCGCGCUGGCCUUCGCCGGGCCGCGCUGCGAGCUGGACUUGGCAGAUGACUUGCUGUCGGACGUGUUCGCCGCCAUUGGUUCAGUGACGUUAGCCUUGUUGCUGAUCCUCUUUCUGGCAGUGGUGGCUUCUGUUCUCGCCUCCAACAAAAGGGCAACCCAGGGCUCCUACAGCCCGAGCCGUCAGGAAAAGGACGGCUCUCGUGUGGAGAUGUGGAGCGUGAUGGAUGCCCCUGCAGCAGAGAGGCUGAUCUAG